GACGAACGCUGGCGGCGUGCUUAACACAUGCAAGUCGAACGGAAAGGCCCUGCUUUUGUGGGGUGCUCGAGUGGCGAACGGGUGAGUAACACGUGAGUAACCUGCCCUUGACUUUGGGAUAACUUCAGGAAACUGGGGCUAAUACCGGAUAGGAGCUCCUGCUGCAUGGUGGGGGUUGGAAAGGUUCGGCGGUUGGGGAUGGACUCGCGGCUUAUCAGCUUGUUGGUGGGGUAGUGGCUUACCAAGGCUUUGACGGGUAGCCGGCCUGAGAGGGUGACCGGCCACAUUGGGACUGAGAUACGGCCCAGACUCCGACGGGAGGCAGCAGUGGGGAAUAUUGCACAAUGGGCGGAAGCCUGAUGCAGCAACGCCGCGUGCGGGAUGACGGCCUUCGGGUUGUAAACCGCUUUCGCCUGUGACGAAGCGUGAGUGACGGUAAUGGGUAAAGAAGCACCGGCUAACUACGUG
rnacentral:rRNA from 1 species